rnacentral:tRNA from 1 species
GCGCGGGUGGCGGAAUUGGUAGACGCGCUACCUUGAGGUGGUAGUGGGAGCAAUCCCGUGGAGGUUCAAGUCCUCUCUCGCGCACCA